rnacentral:rRNA from 1 species
AUUGAACGCUGGCGGCAGGCUUAACACAUGCAAGUCGAGCGGGGAAGGGUAGCUUGCUACCUAACCUAGCGGCGGACGGGUGAGUAAUGCUUAGGAAUCUGCAAUUUAGUGGGGGACAACAUUCCGAAAGGAAUGCUAAUACCGCAUACGUCCUACGGGAGAAAGCAGGGGAUCUUCGGACCUUGCGCUAAAUGAUGAGCCUAAGUCGGAUUAGCUAGUUGGUGGGGUAAAGGCCUACCAAGGCGACGAUCUGUAGCGGGUCUGAGAGGAUGAUCCGCCACACUGGGACCGAGACACGGCCCAGACUCCUACGGGAGGCAGCAGUGGGGAAUAUUGGACAAUGGGCGGAAGCCUGAUCCAGCCAUGCCGCGUGUGUGAAGAAGGCCUUAUGGUUGUAAAGCACUUUAAGCGAGGAGGAGGCUACUUAGAUUAAUACUCUAGGAUAGUGGACGUUACUCGCAGAAUAAGCACCGGCUAACUCUGUGCCAGCAGCCGCCGUAAUAC